rnacentral:tRNA from 1 species
UCGUUAGAGGACUAGUUGUUAGGCCUCGGCACGCUCACUGCUGUGGCCCGGGUUCGAUUCCCAGCCACUGGG